AUUGAACGCUGGCGGCAGGCCUAACACAUGCAAGUCGAACGAGUGGCGGACGGGUGAGUAAUGUCUGGGGAACUGCCCGAUGGAGGGGGAUAACUACUGGAAACGGUAGCUAAUACCGCAUACUAUCAGAUGUGCCCAGAUGGGAUUAGCUAGUAGGUGGGGUAAAGGCUCACCUAGGCGACGAUCCCUAGCUGGUCUGAGAGGAUGACCAGCCACACUGGGACUGAGACACGGUCCAGACUCCUACGGGAGGCAGCAGUGGGGAAUAUUGCACAAUGGGCGCAAGCCUGAUGCAGCCAUGCCGCGUGUAUGAAGAAGGCCUUCGGGUUGUAAAGUACUUUCAGCGGGGAGGCGUUACUCGCAGAAGAAGCACCGGCUAACUCCGUGCCAGCAGCCGCGGUAAUUC
rnacentral:rRNA from 1 species